UCCUGCCCAAUGAUUAAUUAAAUGGCUGCAGUAUCUUGACUGUGCAAAGGUAGCAUAAUAAUUAGUCUUUUAAUUGAGGACUUGUAUGAAUGGAAAAAUGAAAAAUUUAUUUUAUUAAUUUUAUAAUUUUAAUUUAAUUUUUAAGUAAAAAAGCUUAAUUUUUUUUUUGGGACGAUAAGACCCUAUAGAACUUAAAUUUAUGACUAAUUUUUUUAUUGUAGUAUUUUGUGUAAAAAUAUUGGUAUAUAAUUUUUUAUUGGGGUGAUAAAUAAAUCUAAACUUUAUUUUUUUCUAUCAUAUAUUAAUGUUUAAUUUGAUCCAUUCAUUGAUUUAAAGAUUAAGUUACCUUAGGGAUAACAGCGUGAUUUUAAUGGGAAGUUCAUAUUUAUAUUAAAGUUUGCGACCUCGAUGUUGAAUUAAGAUAAGAUUGGGGGGUAG
rnacentral:rRNA from 1 species